rnacentral:snRNA from 1 species
GUGCUCGCUUUGGCAGCACAUAUACUAAAAUUGGAACGAUACAGAGAAGAUUACCAUGGCCCCUGUGCAAGGAUGACACGUCAAAAAAAAAAAAAAAAGAACUUCAU